rnacentral:rRNA from 1 species
GGCGGCGUGCUUAACACAUGCAAGUCGAACGAAGAGCGAUGGAAGCUUGCUUCCAUCAAUCUUAGUGGCGAACGGGUGAGUAACGCGUAAUCAACCUGCCCUUCAGAGGGGGACAACAGUUGGAAACGACUGCUAAUACCGCAUACGAUCUAACCUUGGCAUCGAGGAUGGAUGAAAGGUGGCCUCUAUUUAUAAGCUAUCACUGAAGGAGGGGAUUGCGUCUGAUUAGCUAGUUGGAGGGGUAACGGCCCACCAAGGCGAUGAUCAGUAGCCGGUCUGAGAGGAUGAACGGCCACAUUGGGACUGAGACACGGCCCAGACUCCUACGGGAGGCAGCAGUGGGGAAUCUUCCGCAAUGGACGAAAGUCUGACGGAGCAACGCCGCGUGAGUGAUGACGGCCUUCGGGUUGUAAAGCUCUGUUAAUCGGGACGAAAGGCCUUCUUGCGAAUAGUUAGAAGGAUUGACG